AACUACGGCCAUGCCACCUUGAAAGUGCCCAAUCUCGUCUGAUCUCGGAAGCUAAGCAGGGCCUGGUUAGUACUUGGAUGGGAGACCACCUAGGAAGACCAGGUGCUGUAGGUG
rnacentral:rRNA from 1 species